rnacentral:lncRNA from 1 species
AACCAGAGAGGAUCUAGUUUUGGUCGACCAAAAUGGAGAGGAUAAGGUGGUUGGGUGGCUGUUUUGAAUUUGAUUUGGUUAAGUUCUAUUUAAAUGUUGUAUUGUUGCUCGGUUUGAACCUAAUUCCAAUUUGAACAUUCACCAUGCUUUCUUUCCGAUUCUUCGUGCCAUCUCCCUUCCUCCCUCUGACUUCUAAGCCUUUUCUACGUCCAAGGUGUUAGAAAAUAGGUUGAUUCGCAUGCAUAGAUCUAUAUAUUAUGGUAACCACAAUGAAAACAGAUUUUAAAAUUUUUAGUCUAAUUUAAGCAUGCUGAUUCUAAAUCAUAAUCAAACCUAGGAUUGUCUAAUAUAUAUAAAUAAAUUUAUGAACAUAGUUCUGAAAUCAAAAACAGCA